rnacentral:lncRNA from 1 species
GACUCAACCAAUUCAACACAAAACAGACAGAGGAAUCUUGGACGUGAUAUUGUAAGGCGGAGCGAAUCCGGAAAGAUUGCCUCAGUUCGGAUUGUUCUCUGCAACUCGGGAACAUGAAGUUGGAAUCGCUAGUAAUCGUGGAUCAGCAUGCCGCGGUGAAUAUGUACCCGGGCCCUGUACACACUGCCCCCGUCACACCCUAGGAAUAGGUUUCGCCCGAAGCAUUGGACCAAUGAUCACCCAUGACUUCUGUGUACCACUAGUGCCACAAAGGCUUUUGGUGGUCUUAUUGGCGCAUACCACGGUGGGGUCUUCGACUGGGGUGAAGUCGUAACAAGGUAGCCGUAGGGGAACCUGUGGCUG